UACGUAGGGUGCGAGCGUUAAUCGGAAUUACUGGGCGUAAAGCGUGUGUAGGCGGCCAUAUAAGUCGGAUGUGAAAGCCCUGGGCUCAACCCAGGAAGUGCACUCGAUACUGUAUGGCUCGAGUACUGGAGAGGUUGGUGGAAUUCUCGGUGUAGAGGUGAAAUUCGUAGAUAUCAGGAGGAACACCGGUGGCGAAGGCGGAUCUCUGGGCCUGUUCUGACGCUGAGGCGCGAAAGCUAGGGGAGCGAACAGG
rnacentral:rRNA from 1 species